UGGGGAAUCUUGGACAAUGGGCGAAAGCCUGACCCAGCAACGCCGCGUGAAGGAUGAAGUAUUUCGGUAUGUAAACUUCGAAAGAAUGGGAAGAAUCAAUGACGGUACCAUUUAUAAGGUCCGGCUAACUACGUGCCAGCAGCCGCGGUAAUACGUAGGGACCAAGCGUUGUUCGGAUUUACUGGGCGUAAAGGGCGCGUAGGCGGCUUUGUAAGUCACUUGUGAAAUCUCCGGGCUUAACUCGGAACGGCCAAGUGAUACUGCAAAGCUAGAGUGCAGAAGGGGCAAUCGGAAUUCUUGGUGUAGCGGUGAAAUGCGUAGAUAUCAAGAGGAACACCUGAGGUGAAGACGGGUUGCUGGGCUGACACUGACGCUGAGGCGCGAAAGCCAGGGGAGCAAACGGGAUUAGAUACCCACGUAGUCCCUGAGCGGGCUGGCAAGGCGCAU
rnacentral:rRNA from 1 species